rnacentral:misc_RNA from 1 species
UGAUAUUCUUCAUCUUCUUCUUCCGCUUCUUGUUGGAUAGAAUCCGAGGAAAAAGCCCGCAGGAGAGAGUGAACAUUUGAGCAAGUCUUGUGUUUUGAGAGAGGUGAUGAAAUUAAAGGAAAAGUAAAUGUUGUAUUGGGAUCACUUCCACUACAUUUACUAACAUCAGGGAAAGCAAAGGAGCCAUUUCUUGGAGAGCGCGGAUGCAAAUUCCAGUAGUUGGUUAAUGGUGGUGUUGAUACCACCAAUUUGUGUAGUGAGAAUGAAAGCAUUUAGC